UACGGAGGGUGCAAGCGUUAUCCGGAUUCACUGGGUUUAAAGGGUGCGUAGGUGGGCAGGUAAGUCAGUGGUGAAAUCUCCGAGCUUAACUCGGAAACUGCCGUUGAUACUAUUUGUCUUGAAUAUUGUGGAGGUAAGCGGAAUAUGUCAUGUAGCGGUGAAAUGCUUAGAUAUGACAUAGAACACCAAUUGCGAAGGCAGCUUACUACACAACGAUUGACGCUGAGGAACGAAAGCGUGGGGAUCAAACAGG
rnacentral:rRNA from 1 species